CUAUGUGUUGUUGGGUAGGGGAGCGUUCUGUAAGCCUGUGAAGGUGUGCUGUGAGGCAUGCUGGAGGUAUCAGAAGUGCGAAUGCUGACAUAAGUAACGAUAAAGCGGGUGAAAAGCCCGCUCGCCGGAAGACCAAGGGUUCCUGUCCAACGUUAAUCGGGGCAGGGUGAGUCGACCCCUAAGGCGAGGCCGAAAGGCGUAGUCGAUGGGAAACAGGUUAAUAUUCCUGUACUUGGUGUUACUGCGAAGGGGGGACGGAGAAGGCUAUGUUGGCCGGGCGACGGUUGUCCCGGUUUAAGCGUGUAGGCUGGUUUUCCAGGCAAAUCCGGAAAAUCAAGGCUGAGGCGUGAUGACGAGGCACUACGGUGCUGAAGCAACAAAUGCCCUGCUUCCAGGAAAAGCCUCUAAGCAUCAGGUAACAUCAAAUCGUACCCCAAACCGACACAGGUGGUCAGGUAGAGAAUACCAAGGCGCUUGAGAGAACUCGGGUGAAGGAACUAGGCAAAAUGGUGCCGUAACUUCGGGAGAAGGCACGCUGAUAUGUAGGUGAAGCGACUUGCUCGUGGAGCUGAAAUCAGUCGAAGAUACCAGCUGGCUGCAACUGUUUAUUAAAAACACAGCACUGUGCAAACACGAAAGUGGACGUAUACGGUGUGACGCCUGCCCGGUGCCGGAAGGUUAAUUGAUGGGGUCAGCGCAAGCGAAGCUCUUGAUCGAAGCCCCGGUAAACGGCGGCCGUAACUAUAACGGUCCUAAGGUAGCGAAAUUCCUUGUCGGGUAAGUUCCGACCUGCACGAAUGGCGUAAUGAUGGCCAGGCUGUCUCCACCCGAGACUCAGUGAAAUUGAACUCGCUGUGAAGAUGCAGUGUACCCGCGGCAAGACGGAAAGACCCCGUGAACCUUUACUAUAGCUUGACACUGAACAUUGAGCCUUGAUGUGUAGGAUAGGUGGGAGGCUUUGAAGUGUGGACGCCAGUCUGCAUGGAGCCGACCUUGAAAUACCACCCUUUAAUGUUUGAUGUUCUAACGUUGACCCGUAAUCCGGGUUGCGGACAGUGUCUGGUGGGUAGUUUGACUGGGGCGGUCUCCUCCUAAAGAGUAACGGAGGAGCACGAAGGUUGGCUAAUCCUGGUCGGACAUCAGGAGGUUAGUGCAAUGGCAUAAGCCAGCUUGACUGCGAGCGUGACGGCGCGAGCAGGUGCGAAAGCAGGUCAUAGUGAUCCGGUGGUUCUGAAUGGAAGGGCCAUCGCUCAACGGAUAAAAGGUACUCCGGGGAUAACAGGCUGAUACCGCCCAAGAGUUCAUAUCGACGGCGGUGUUUGGCACCUCGAUGUCGGCUCAUCACAUCCUGGGGCUGAAGUAGGUCCCAAGGGUAUGGCUGUUCGCCAUUUAAAGUGGUACGCGAGCUGGGUUUAGAACGUCGUGAGACAGUUCGGUCCCUAUCUGCCGUGGGCGCUGGAGAACUGAGGGGGGCUGCUCCUAGUACGAGAGGACCGGAGUGGACGCAUCACUGGUGUUCGGGUUGUCAUGCCAAUGGCACUGCCCGGUAGCUAAAUGCGGAAGAGAUAAGUGCUGAAAGCAUCUAAGCACGAAACUUGCCCCGAGAUGAGUUCUCCCUGACUCCUUGAGAGUCCUGAAGGAACGUUGAAGACGACGACGUUGAUAGGCCGGGUGUGUAAGCG
rnacentral:rRNA from 1 species